rnacentral:misc_RNA from 1 species
GGCAAAUUGGAUUUGGAAGCGGGUUCAAGUGUAACAGCGCAGUCUGGAAGUGUAUGCGCAAUGUUAAAGCUCCGGUCGACAGCCCGUGGUCCGAGUGCAUUAAUCGGUAUCCGAUUGACAUCCCCGAGAUUGUCAAGCUCUGAAAUGUGGAUUGUUCAUCACCCAGUUGUGUAUUGAAGUUCAAAUGGGAGCAUUGCUCUUCUGUUACUUUGUCUGAAAAAAAACAGAUAGACCCUACUGUGUAUGUUAUGUCCAGCAUACAAUAGAAGCAUGGAUUGUACAAAUCAUGGCCCAA